rfam:Felis catus isolate Cinnamon breed Abyssinian chromosome D4, whole genome shotgun sequence.
GCCUGGGUGGCUCAGUCAGUUGAGCAGCUGACUUCGGCUCAGGUCAUGAUCUCGCAGUUCAUGGGUUCGAGCCCCACGUCGGGCU